GGGUGCGAUCAUACCAAUGUUAAUGCACCGGAUCCCAUCAGAACUCCGUAGUUAAGAGGGCUUGGGCUAGAGUAGUACUGUGAUGGGUGACCUCCCGGGAAGUCCUAGUGUUGCACCCU
rfam:Picea glauca, whole genome shotgun sequence.